AACGAACGCUGGCGGCAGGCUUAACACAUGCAAGUCGAGCGCCCCGCAAGGGGAGCGGCAGACGGGUGAGUAACGCGUGGGAACGUACCUUUUGGUUCGGAACAACUCCGGGAAACUGGAGCUAAUACCGGAUAAGCCCUAACGGGGAAAGAUUUAUCGCCGAAAGAUCGGCCCGCGUCUGAUUAGCUAGUUGGUGAGGUAACGGCUCACCAAGGCGACGAUCAGUAGCUGGUCUGAGAGGAUGAUCAGCCACACUGGGACUGAGACACGGCCCAGACUCCUACGGGAGGCAGCAGUGGGGAAUAUUGGACAAUGGGCGCAAGCCUGAUCCAGCCAUGCCGCGUGAGUGAUGAAGGCCUUAGGGUUGUAAAGCUCUUUUGUCCGGGAAGAUAAUGACUGUACCGGAAGAAUAAGCCCCGGCUAGCUUCGUG
rnacentral:rRNA from 1 species